GUCCUGCACAGGGAUAUCAAGCCAGCGAACAUCCUGGUUGACCUGGCCACCGGGCAAGCCAAACUGAUUGAUUUCGGCUGUGGCACCUACCUGCAAGAGACAGCCUACAUUCGCUUUGCAGGAACACCAUCAUACAGCCCCCCAGAAUGGACCCAUUUUGGCUGGUACUAUGGCAAGCCAGCUACCAUCUGGUCCCUGGGCAUCGUGCUGCACCAGAUGGUCUGCGGGGAGCACCCUUUCAGGAGGGGCCAGAACAUCAGCUGGGACCAUCAGCUCUCGCUGCCACAACGGCUCUCUCCAGCGUGCCAAGAUCUGAUCAGGCGGUGUUUAUCCAUGCUGGACUGGGACAGACCCUCAUUAGAAGAGGUGUUCUGUCAUCCUUGGAUGCAGGAUAUUCAUCUGCCAUAGAAGAAGGGAGAGAGCCACAGGCACACUGUGCUGCAGGGCCCUGGUAAGUUACAGCUGCACACAUGCCUUGGCAAUGAGAAGCAAAGGAACCCCAGACUUUUUUGUCCUGCCUGUGUCACUGGCCAGGGCUCAUCAGAUGGGAGCACACAGCCCUUGUGCUGGAGCUGAGCUGCUCUGCCCAGCACUGGUGGCCACCAUCCAAGCUGGUUUUGCUUGUCCUGGUUCCCUGACAGCUGGGGCCCUGGACAGAACCCUGACAGCCUGGUCUGAGCCCAGGGAAGAAGAAGGAGCCCCCAGAGAAGCUGUACCAGGUGGGGCUGCUGCUGCUGGAGACAGCGAGGAUCACAUCAAGAAUGACAACCUCUUCCUGGACCUGGCCACUGAGGAAGCAUUCUGGUUGGUGCAGUCUGGAUCGGGAAGUUCUUGAGAGCAGCUGUGGCGUGGAUGGGCCGUGCCCUUGGAGCAGGCUGAGGACAUCGUUUGGGACCAGCUUUUCUUCCAGCCAUGGAUGGCAUGAGCCGGGCUCUCUGGAUGCUUGCAGCUCUGGGCUCUGCCAGGGCUCUGCUGGAGCUCAGCACCGGGCCGGAAUCAGCCAAAGAAGAAAUGGUGUCACCUGCAGCACAGACUUGCUUGAGCAUUUUGGCAACACAGCUCAAGUUUGCAGAGUGUACACCUCCAAGGGAAAACAUGACACCUCCCAAAAAUUAAACUUGUUCAAUACCUUCUGAAAUCAAAUCAAUCUGGGAUGACUCCAAAUGACA